rnacentral:rRNA from 1 species
AGUGAACGCUGGCGGUAGGCCUAACACAUGCAAGUCGAACGGCAGCACAGUAAGAGCUUGCUCUUACGGGUGGCGAGUGGCGGACGGGUGAGGAAUACAUCGGAAUCUACUUUUUCGUGGGGGAUAACGUAGGGAAACUUACGCUAAUACCGCAUACGACCUACGGGUGAAAGCAGGGGAUCUUCGGACCUUGCGCGAGUGAAUGAGCCGAUGUCGGAUUAGCUAGUUGGCGGGGUAAAGGCCCACCAAGGCGACGAUCCGUAGCUGGUCUGAGAGGAUGGUCGGCCACACUGGAGCUGGGACACGGUCCUGGCUCCUGCGGUAGGCCGCAGUGGGGAAUAUUGGGCAAUGGGCGCAAGCCUGAUCCAGCCAUACCGCGUCUGUGACGACGGCCUUCGGUUUGUAAAGACCUUUUGUUGGGAAAGAACAGCAGCAGGUUGUUACCACGCUGUUGUGACGGUACCGAGUAAAUAAGCACCGGCUAACUUCGUG